GUGGGGGGUGCUUACCAUGCAAGUCGAACGAUGAUGCCCAGCUUGCUGGGUGGAUUAGUGGCGAACGGGUGAGUAACACGUGAGUAACCUGCCCCUGACUCUGGGAUAAGCGUUGGAAACGACGUCUAAUACUGGAUAUGACUGCCGGCCGCAUGGUCUGGUGGUGGAAAGAUUUUUUGGUUGGGGAUGGACUCGCGGCCUAUCAGCUUGUUGGUGAGGUAAUGGCUCACCAAGGCGACGACGGGUAGCCGGCCUGAGAGGGUGACCGGCCACACUGGGACUGAGACACGGCCCAGACUCCUACGGGAGGCAGCAGUGGGGAAUAUUGCACAAUGGGCGAAAGCCUGAUGCAGCAACGCCGCGUGAGGGAUGACGGCCUUCGGGUUGUAAACCUCUUUUAGUAGGGAAGAAGCGAAAGUGACGGUACCUGCAGAAAAAGCACCGGCUAACUACGUGCCAGCAGCCGCGGUAAUACGUAGGGUGCAAGCGUUGUCCGGAAUUAUUGGGCGUAAAGAGCUCGUAGGCGGUUUGUCGCGUCUGCUGUGAAAUCCCGAGGCUCAACCUCGGGCUUGCAGUGGGUACGGGCAGACUAGAGUGCGGUAGGGGAGAUUGGAAUUCCUGGUGUAGCGGUGGAAUGCGCAGAUAUCAGGAGGAACACCGAUGGCGAAGGCAGAUCUCUGGGCCGUAACUGACGCUGAGGAGCGAAAGCAUGGGGAGCGAACAGGAUUAGAUACCCUGGUAGUCCAUGCCGUAAACGUUGGGCGCUAGAUGUAGGGACCUUUCCACGGUUUCUGUGUCGUAGCUAACGCAUUAAGCGCCCCGCCUGGGGAGUACGGCCGCAAGGCUAAAACUCAAAGGAAUUGACGGGGGCCCGCACAAGCGGCGGAGCAUGCGGAUUAAUUCGAUGCAACGCGAAGAACCUUACCAAGGCUUGACAUACACCGGAAACGGCCAGAGAUGGUCGCCCCCUUGUGGUCGGUGUACAGGUGGUGCAUGGUUGUCGUCAGCUCGUGUCGUGAGAUGUUGGGUUAAGUCCCGCAACGAGCGCAACCCUCGUUCUAUGUUGCCAGCGGGUUUUGCCGGGGACUCAAAGAAACUGCCGGGGUCA
rnacentral:rRNA from 1 species